GACGGAGGGCGCAAGCGUUGUUCGGAAUUACUGGGCGUAAAGCGCGCGCAGGCGGUCUGUUAAGUCUGCGGUGAAAUCCCGGAGCUCAACUCCGGAUAUGCCGCGGAUACUGGCGGACUAGAGACCGGUAGAGGCGAGUGGAAUUCCAGGUGUAGCGGUGGAAUGCGUAGAUAUCUGGAAGAACACCGGUGGCGAAGGCGGCUCGCUGGGCCGGUUCUGACGCUGCAGGCGCGAAAGCGUGGGGAGCAAACAGG
rnacentral:rRNA from 1 species